UCGGGCUGGCACGCUGUCAGUUUCACUAGCACACAGCUGCUUCUGGAAAAUUCUGCACCCUGCCCUACUAAACCACCAGGCAUGACAUGAAUAACAAGAAUGGCCCAGCCAUCAACAGCAGAUACUUUUCCUUUUGACGUGGGCCUAACAGACUGGUACAAAUGCCCUGGCCUUGCACAUAGUGGAAAAAUCAACAAUGAAGGGGACACCGGGGCACAAUGUGGAAAUGAAAUCCCGGGUUUAGGAGGCUUUGUCUGGACAAGGACGCAGUUGACAUAGAGCCCGAGGGCUUUGCAAAAAGGCCGUGCAACAAAAUGCCAACUGAUGUGUUUUGAUGGGGUUACUCGUUCACCAGCCGGUCACUAAUUGGAGAGUAAGAACCCACUAAAUUGCUUUCAGUCAGCAUGGAGCUGUGGCGAAUUUCCUUUCCGAGCUGCAUGUGUCAUUUUGUUGCCCCUCGAAGACGGCGGCAGAAAAAGAAAGCAUGAAAUGUGGUAGCUAGUGUGUGUUUUGUGUGUUCCUAACAUGACCAGUCAACACUUGCCCCAGAUCUAAGUACAGCUUUCCCAGCAGUGAUGAGAUAAUGCUAGCCCUUAUCCCUCUAUGAGGUUGUUAGAUAUGUGCAACCCUCUGUAGUGUUGACAUUUCCGUGCCCAACCCAAGUGAACACAUAGGGCCACAGAGGCUCCUCUCAGGCUGUCUGUAUCCAUGGCAGAUAAAGAGGUGAGUCAGCCACUCAUCUAUCCAGUUCUCCUCCUCCUCUGCAUGGCAAUACUCCUACCCUUAGCCCCCGUCAUCCUCGUUCACAAGGCCUUAUGUGUACAUUCAGCACAUGGUGGAUUGUAUAAAUAGCAGCGACCGCGUGGCUCGCCGCUGACACCUGACAUUUUCAUGCCCCAGCAAGCCGCUGAUACAUUUGGCGCUUGGCACGCAUUCUUCUCUCGGGUUUAUCCAUCUGUUGAUGUAGAGCCCAACCCCCCGAGCCUCUACUAUGUUCCUGUAACAUAACACGAGCCUCUCCUUUCCCUCUAUUCAUCUUAACAUGCAAGCACCGCAUGGCACAGACUUCACCCCUCCCUCCUACCUCCAUGUUUUUCUCUGGCUCUUACUCGCUCUCCCUCCCCCCAUCGUGCUGCCUUUCUUUUUCCUCUCUCUGCCUAACAACACCCAACAAACACACGCUGCACAAUCCACCCAAGUCAUUAGUCUUCAGACUGGCGUUCAGCUGGUCUCAGAAACCCACCAACAUGGGGAACAAAAGUGAGAUGGGAAUUGCGUGAAGCUGGAGUGAUAGUGCUGGCAAAGAACUGAAUGUGAGAUUGUGUGCAGGCAGGGUACUUCCUGGCUGCCCGCCAACUUCCAGCAGCAGCACUGCAGCAUGUCAAUAUGUCCGUUGCCAGGGAAACAGCGAGAGCACACACAGUCCAUAGAAAACCUUAUUGCUACACUUUACACUCUUCUUCCUCUUUUUAAACUCCAGCUCAAAAAUGCUCAAUGAAGCUGUAUUACUCUCCAGGCUAGGGAAGAGCAUUACUAAAGGGGGGUUAUGAUGAACCCCCAUGGACUUAGCCAACCACCAAGAGCUGCUGGAAGGGCAUCAUCCCUAACUGGCUUCCCACCCUUGAACAUGCUUCUCAUGUGAUCAGCACUCAACACCAAAGGCUACUCUGAGCCCCACCCCCUCGCCCCCUUCAGUACUUUGAAGACCGACAGAGAGAGUCUGUUACCAGAGAAACAAAGGAGUGUAUGAGGAAUGCAGCUCUGAGUCAGCACAGAGGAACGCCAGUGAAAGCCAAUAUGAGACAGAGGAUGGAUUAUAUGAGAGACCUUAUGAGAGCUUGGACUGCCAUAAAUUUCCUGUUGCUACUGGAGCAGUGACACUCUGGAGGAUACAGCCGAGCAGUAUUUUCUUAGCUCGGUGACAGCCAAUCAAGAGAAAGCCCAUAAAACAUAUCACUUUUGUAAUUUUUUUCCCGUCUGUGCUAAGUUGCAGCUUUAAAAAUCCCACUGGGGUUCAAACCUGACUUCCCUUCAGUUAUUUGUUGGCUGCAGAAAGCAGUACCACUCCGAUUCUCAUUAUUUAACAUGUUGCAUCAGAAACCCAGUGGGUGCAUCUGCACAUGAGCUUCAUCUGCCAAUUUAGAAGCAACUUGUUAACCUCGACAUGGAAAAGAUUCAGAUUACUGGUCAGUACAAGCAAGAGCUCACCCUGAACGAUAUGCAGUCUGAACCUGUUGGAUGUUUCUCAUAAGUUUAUGGUUUUGGAAGUUGUUGGGUGGCCUUAUGUAAGAAUCGCUACCUCAAGCAAUCUAAGAGCGGAUUUGUGCCUGCUGCGAUAAUGACCUGAUUUUAAGACCCAUCCAGACAAGCCGACAAAUUGAUGCCAAGGUUGUGUUUUUAUGUUGACUAGCGACUGUGAGACAAACACAGACAAACACAUGG